GGUUUGAUCAGAAUAACUAUUUUUAUCACUUUUUUACACUGUUUGAUAGAAAUAUAUAGCGGGAAUAAAUUUUAUUUAUUUUCGAUUUAUUCCGAAACCAAAUAAAGCUUUAGGGAGAAAGAUACGAUUUGUUCAUUUUUUUUUAAUAAAAGAUAAAUUUAGUGAAAAAUAUGAAAUAAUUAUAUUUUGAAUUUGGAACCUCGAAUACCAAUUAUUACUCGCCAAUAUAUUUAUUUACCAAUCUCUUUCUC
rnacentral:lncRNA from 1 species